rnacentral:rRNA from 1 species
GCCGGAAUUGCUAGUAAUGGCAGGUCAGCAUACUGCCGUGAAUACGUUCCCGGGCCUUGUACACACCGCCCGUCACACCAUGAGAGUUGGGAAUACCCGAAGCCUGUGAGCUAACUAUAUGAGGCAGCAGUCGAAGGUAGAAUCAAUGAUUGGAGUGAAGUCGUAACAAGGUAAC